GUUGGUACUAGUGUAAAUACCUACGAAAGGGUGAAGACUGAGCAAGAUCACAAUCAAAUCCUACUAGUUCAGCAGUAUGUAUUCACCAUGUAGAGGGUACUGUCGAUGAGAAGAUCUUAGCACAGAAGUAAUGACUCAAAAGAUGCCUUGUUUUAACAGGAGAUUUUAAAGUUGAGAAUAGUCUACCAUGGAAUGAAGGCAUAUGGUGAAAACCUGAAGACUGGAUACAAUGCAGAGAAGACAGCACUGAAUUAUGUGUAUGCUGUGGAACUUGAUGGAUUUUGGGAUAUUAGACAUUCUCAAGAUAUUUAUUGCUCUACUGUUUCUCCAGGGACUUACGACUUGGCCAGUUUUAACUUUUGGAAGUAAAAGCAAGGCAUGGAUAUUUCACUGAAGGAAUGAGAACAAAUCAACUACAAACUUCCAUGGAAAAAGCAUGCAAAUUUUAGAUGUCAGUCUCCAAUUAUCAGUGACCAAAAGGGCAAAGGACCCCCCUCCGGUGCCACACUCAAUAUUCCUCACCGGAAAAGAAAGAGAAGUCAGUGCUCUGGGUGGAAUGACACGCUCCUUGGUAGUGCCUCCUCCACCACCAGGGAGGCAAAGAAAAGCCAAAAAAGUCCAAAGCAUUAACAACUUAGAAGCUAUUUUUCAUGUUGCCAACUUAGAUGCUAUUUUUCAUGCUGCUAUCAUUACCUCAAGUUUGAUGCUACAGUGA
rnacentral:lncRNA from 1 species